rnacentral:lncRNA from 1 species
GGGCCUGUAUUGAGAGCUUUCUUGAAGGUCGGGAAUUUUGAUAAGAACCUCAAUCCUUGCUGAGACGAGGUUCCUUGCAUCUUUGACGCAAUUUGUUUUCCAUUCAUCGCUGAUGCAGUCCGUUGCUUUCCUUUUUAACUCCCCUCCCCUUUUUCUUUUUCUUUUAUCGAGUGAGGGUUUUCUCGUUGCUCUUGGUGGGGUCAUGGGAGUGCGAAGGGGCUACUGAGAAGGUCCCCUUUUUCUAAUCCGAUCUUGGAUGAUCGGACCUCAAUUGGUGUUAG